rnacentral:rRNA from 1 species
CUUCCGUAGGUGAACCUGCGGAAGGAUCAUUACAAGUAAAUAUGUGUUCUUCGGAAUAUGCAUUUUCAAACCCCUCUGUGUACCUUACCUGUUGCUUCCGUGCUGCGUGGAUUUCGGUCCCCUCCUUUGCUGGAGUGUCGGCACGGCUAACAAAACUCUUGCAUUUCAUGUCAUCUGUCUGAACUGUUAAAUACAAAAAGUUAAAACUUUCAACAACGGAUCUCUUGGUUCUCGCAUCGAUGAAGAACGCAGCGAAAUGCGAUAAGUAGUGUGAAUUGCAGAAUUCAGUGAAUCAUCGAAUCUUUGAACGCACAUUGCGCCUCCUGGUAUUCCGGGAGGCAUGCCUGUUCGAGCGUCAUUAAAAUCAACUCAAGCUCUUUUGCUUGGUCAUGGAGGAAGAGACUGCCCGGCAGUCUCCCCUCCGAAAUUCAAUGGCGGAAGGUCACUGGUACCCGGCGUAGUAAUAAACGUUCGCUUUGUAUCCAGAGUCGUUCCUGCUGUACAACCCCCUUUCUAGUGAUUGACCUCGGAUCAGGUAGGGAUACCCGCUGAACUUAAGCAUAUCAAUAAGCGGAGGAAGA